ACCCAGGUCUUCCUGAUGCCACAUCUGGUGCUUUAUCCACUCUGCCACCUAGCUGCUGAGAAAAUAGGAUUCCCCUCCUCUACUCCUUGUCAAAGAGGGGAAUUUACAAGUUUACUAUAAUAAUGAAUGGGUUUUCGUCUGGAAAUAUUUGACUAUCACUUACAAAAAAUUAUGAAACUGUAUAAGGUGGUUUAAAGAUGUCACAUCAGUACAUUAAUAGUAUGUGUUGAGGUUGCAUUUUUGUACCAACUUAGUAGAGCUCAGAUUCAAAGAUUUCAGUCUUACCUUAGCUGUGAAUGGGCAAUACAGGUUGGAGGCUUACAGUAGCCAGAAGUCUUCUGGUGUCUGACUCAACUAUCAUGUAUUCACUGUAUGUGUGAAACCUCAAAAUGUGAUUAUUUUUAAUUUCUAAAUGAAGGCUAAAUGAAAUGUCCUUAUAUUAUUUUCAUUGUUAACUGUUAUUUGAACAUAAUAAGAAUAAUAAAUUAGUCCUAAGCUGUGAUUAGUGUAAUUCUGCCAUUUAAAGUAAAAAUCUCUUGGGAUUGUAAUUUAAUAUUGUUUUGAGUUUGGUGUCAGAUAUGGUUGUCCAGAGUACCUAUUAAACUGAUACUGUAUCAUUUAGGGAGACAAUGGCAUGUGCUACAGUCUGAGAGCUGCUAUGGAUGGAUGUCUGUGCUUGGGAAAAGUUGAUGGGACGAUCUUGGUAUGGCUUAAGAUUUGAGCAGAAUUAUCUAGGAAUCUCUCCAAGUGACUUGGAACCAGGGCAGCAGAGCCCCCUUCAGAGCUGUCCUGAGAAUGAGGCCUAUUCCAGAAUGUCUGAGAGAAGAGCUUUCUAAGGACCAGAUGGGGCUCAAGAUGAAACGGGCAUGUUCAAAGGACUUUGGGAGUGGGUUACUGGGAUACAGGGAGACUUAAUAUUAUACUGGUGAUCAUUAUUGUUCUUGGGCUCUGAAUUAGCUGUUGUACUAAGCUGUACCAGAGGGUGAUUCCCACUGGUCCUUUCUUGGUGUGUCAUGAUGAGAGUGAGCAGGAGCAUGUUAGAAAAAACCCGCCGAGGAGCAAAAGGGAGAGUUGUGGGAAUUCAGUGACAUCUUGUUUCACAUCUAGGAAAGUCCUGAAACUUGCUUUUCCCCGCCUGACUUGGAAAGCCCCAAAUCUGCCCUCCACUAAGAAAUCAGAUGACCUAAUUUUACACCCUUGUUGCUGUCCUGCUCGUUGUGUCCACAUACUGUGUAGAAAUCUGCCUAGGAUCUGCAUUCAGAGUCCAGAGCCCGUGGGGGACCUGGUCUGGAUCGUUUUGCAGCUGUGCGCCCCGCCAAUAAAUCAGUACGCUUGGAAGCU